rnacentral:rRNA from 1 species
GAUGAACGCUGGCGGCGUGCUUAACACAUGCAAGUCGAACGAAGCACUUAUGAUUCUUCGGAAAAGUAAGUGACUGAGUGGCGGACGGGUGAGUAACGCGUGGGUAACCUGCCUUAUACAGGGGGAUAACAGUUAGAAAUGACUGCUAAUACCGCAUAACCCGCUAUGGCCGCAUGGCCAAGACGGAAAAGAUUUAUCGGUAUAAGAUGGACCCGCGUCUGAUUAGCUAGUUGGUGAGGUAAUGGCUCACCAAGGCGACGAUCAGUAGCCGGCUUGAGAGAGUGAACGGCCACAUUGGGACUGAGACACGGCCCAAACUCCUACGGGAGGCAGCAGUGGGGAGUAUUGCACAAUGGGGGAAACCCUGAUGCAGCAACGCCGCGUGAAGGAAGAUGUAUUUCGGAUUGUAAACUUCUAUCAACGGGGAAGAAAAAAAUGACAGUACCCGAAUAAGAAGCCCCGGCUAACUACGUGCCAGCAGCCGCCGCCG